GGCAAAGUAGCCCAGUAGAAAGAGCAUAAGACUGGGAGUCAGGAGACCUGGAUUCUAAUCCCGGCUUUACCU
rnacentral:tRNA from 1 species